GUUUUGAAUACCAGUAAGGGUCUCUCCUGGGCAAGCUAAAACAGAAGUCAAACUGGCAGAUGGAGGAGUUCCUAAACUUAAGAUUCCUGCUGGGCAAGAGGCCUCCUGUGUACAAUCCUGAAUGAAACCAGGCACAGGCACCUUAUUAAAACAGUUGGGCUGAAACUACCGAGCUGUAGUAAUCACAGCCAUGGUUGCUCCCUCCCCACUCACUCAAUGGGUUUGUAGCAUUGCACGGAACAAAUACACUGUUUUAUACACAUCUUGAUCCCUUUCCCAUUACAUGGCAAGUCUGGGGCUUGGCUUUCAUCCCAGCACUGCCUGAGACAGCCAUUCACCUGACAUGGGCUUGUGCUGUGUCAGUCUCUGUGUGUCAGUGAUGAGCUGUGGGUGGUGGUGCUGGACUGAGUGUUGGUGCUGGGCUGUGUGUGACGAUGUUAUACUGUGUGUGAUGAUGCUAGGCUGUGCCUUGCUGCUGGGCUGUGUAUUGGUGCUGGGCUCUGUGUUGGUGCUGCACUGAGUGCUGGUGCUGGGCUGUGUAUGUUGGUGCUGGGCUGUGUGUUGGGGCUGUGUGUGAUGAUGUUGCACUGGGUGUGAUGGUGUUGGGCUGUGUGUUGGUGCUAGGCUGAGUGUUGGUGCUGGGUUGUGUGGCAUGCUGUUUGUGAUGGUGUUGGGCUGUGUGUGUUGGUUCUGGGCUGUGUGCACCCGUGUAGCAAAGUGCUCAUGACCAUGCAUGAUUUCUUCACUUUUUGGAGCUAAGGUUGGAUCUUUAUUAAUUUUCUCAGGUAUGGCAUGACAGUGGUCUGGAUUACAUCAUGGAUACAUGCUGAUUAAAACAACCCACUGCCACAGCAGUGAUUUGUCCCCACAGUCCAAAGGGCCCAUGGCUGAACCCUGCUUCCAGUCUCAACAUCUGUCAAAGCCAAAAACCACUGAGAAGCUCCUGAGGUGGCUGGUUGAAGAUAUGGUAAUUGUCCGAAGAACCUAUAUACCUGAUGUGAUAUUCAGGACUGCUGAGACCCCACUUUGUCUCCGUGAUUUUGCAGAGCUGAGAGAGGGUUUGCUUUACUUGUUAGAGCAACCAAAGAAAUUCUGCUUCAUAAUAAAAUUUUCUUCUAUUCACCAGAGUGUAAAGAUGUGCCAGGCCAAAUGAUCCACAGCAGUAUGGCCCUUUCAGUCCCACAGGAAUGAUGCUUGGUCUCACAGGACUUAAGAGAAAGAUCUCCAAUUAUUGCUGCAGUGAAGGUGUCUGCUAACACCAUGAAUGCCAGUUGGUUUUAAUCCUGCCUAUAAAUGGCAAUGUUCUCUAACAAUGGGAAAGAAAAUUGCAUUUAAAACCCAGUUUCUCUUCUUCCUACCAUGACAUAUUUAGGCUAACUGAAUAUGGUGGUGUGUUUUCAUUAGAAAGAUUAACACAUCAGAAUAACAAGAUUAGAUACAUUUUACCUACAAAAUAUGGUCAAGAGAAAUUUGAAUUAAACUAGAAUCAAUAAAGCAUGAACUAUGGA
rnacentral:lncRNA from 1 species